UCGGCGAAGAGGAAUUUAUUUUAGCUUUUGAGCAGCCUUUCCGCUGGCUACCAUAUUGGAUACUAUGUCUCGUGCAGUUGGCAAUAGUGAUCUCUCAGCGAUUGUGUGUGGCGAACUUUCAACACGACAUAGGUGGCAAGGACGCUCAACCAAUGAGGCGCAAGGAAGACCUCACCAGUCAGCAAGCCCCGCCCCCUUCCGCGUCUGAACCACUUGCUGUUCCCGCCCUCCCGUUAAACAGCUUCCAGCUGGAGGCGGACUUACGGAAGCUGAAGAAUCACCCGGAGACCAUGUACAAGUACUUUAAGAAAAUCAAACCGGACAAGUACCCCAAGGUUUUCCAGAACUCUCUGGAACCGGACAUCCGAAAUCAGAUUCUGUG